rnacentral:rRNA from 1 species
UCAAGUGACUAAGUGCAUGUGGCGGAUGCCUUGGCGAUCACAGGCGAAGAAAGACGCGGCAGCCUGCGAAAAGCUGCGGGGAGCUGGCAAACGAGCUUUGAUCCGCAGAUAUCUGAAUGGGGGAACCCACACCGCAAGGUGUAUCCGUGACUGAAUACAUAGGUUACGGAGGCGAACGAGGAGAACUGAAACAUCUAAGUAUCCUCAGGAAAAGAAAUCAACCGAGAUUCCGGCAGUAGCGGCGAGCGAACCCGGAGGAGCCUAGCUUUUGAUAGUACGAACUUUAGCCGAAAGGUCCUGGAAAGGCCUGCUAUAGUGGGUGAUAGCCCCGUAGGCGAAAGAGUUCGUAUGGUACUAAGGAAGCGAGAAGUAGAGCGGGACACGUGGAAUCCUGUUCGAAGAUGGGGGGACCAUCCUCCAAGGCUAAAUACUCGUGAUCGACCGAUAGUGAACCAGUACCGUGAGGGAAAGGCGAAAAGAACCCCGGGAGGGGAGUGAAAUAGAACCUGAAACCGCAUGCAUACAAACAGUAGGAGCCUCGUCAGAGGUGACUGCGUACCUUUUGCAUAAUGGGUCAGCGACUUACAUUCUGUGGCGAGCUUAACCGAAUAGGGGAGGCGCAGCGAAAGCGAGUUCGAAAUGAGCGUCCAGUCGCAGGGUGUAGACCCGAAACCAGAUGAGCUAUCCAUGGCCAGGUUGAAGGUGUGGUAACACACACUGGAGGACCGAACCGACUAGUGUUGCAAAAUUAGCGGAUGAGCUGUGGAUAGGGGUGAAAGGCCAAACAAAUCUGGAGAUAGCUGGUUCUCCCCGAAAACUAUUGAGGUAGUGCCUCGUGUGUCGCUCCAGGGGGUAGAGCACUGUUUUGGCUAGGGGGACAUGGAGUCUUACCAAACCAAGGCAAACUCCGAAUACCUGGAAGCGUGAGCACGGGAGACAGAGCACCGGGUGCUAACGUCCGGACUCAAAAGGGAAACAACCCAGACCGCCGGCUAAGGUCCCCAAUAACAGCUAAGUGGAAAACGAAGUGGAAAGGCCGUGACAACCAGGAAGUUGGCUUAGAAGCAGCCAUCCUUCAAAGAAAGCGUAAUAGCUCACUGGUCGAGUCCUUCUGCGCGGAAGAUGUAACGGGGCUAAGCUGUUAACCGAAGCCGCGGAUGCACUGGUAAUCCAGUGCGUGGUAGGGGAGCGUUCUGUAAGUCUGCGAAGGCGGUUCGAGAGGACUGCUGGAGAUAUCAGAAGUGCGAAUGCUGACAUGAGUAACGUUAAAGCAGGUGAAAAGCCUGCUCGCCGUAAGCCCAAGGAUUCCUGCUCUACGUUCAUCGGAGCAGGGUGAGUCGGCUCCUAAGGUCAGGCCGAAAGGCGUAGCCGAUGGGAAUCAGGUUAAUAUUCCUGAACCUGCGUCAGAUGCGAUGGGGGGACGGAGCAUGAAAGAUCAUCCGGGUGUUGGAUGUCCCGGUUGACGAGCGUAGGAGGUCUGCAGGCAAAUCCGCAGACGCAUCUCCAAGGCGAAGUCACGUGCCGCCACGGCGGCGAAGUGAUCGGAAGUGCUUCCAAGAAAAGCCUCUAAGCACCAGUCUGACGCGGACCGUACCGCAAACCGACACUGGUGGGCGAGCUGAAUAUGCUCAGGCGCUUGAGAGAACUCGGGAGAAGGAACUCGGCAAAUUGACACCGUAACUUCGGAAGAAGGUGUGCCGUAGUAGCGUGAGAGGAGAGACUCCUCGAGCGUGAAUCGGUCUCAGAGAAUAGGUGGCUGCGACUGUUUAUUAAAAACACAGCACUCUGCAAAGUCGAAAGACGACGUAUAGGGUGUGAUGCCUGCCCGGUGCUGGAAGAUUAAUUGAUGGGGUGAGAGCCCUUGAUCGAAGUCCCAGUAAACGGCGGCCGUAACUAUAACGGUCCUAAGGUAGCGAAAUUCCUUGUC